rnacentral:ncRNA from 1 species
GGUUUUUGAGGUGGGAAAGGUACCCCACGCGCUACAGUUAGCUGUAGUUACCAGAGAUCAGGAUUGCCGCCCUGCUUUAACC